rnacentral:misc_RNA from 1 species
GAAAUGCGAUAAGUAAUGUGAAUUGCAGAAUCCAGUGAAUCAUCGAAACCUUGAACGCAAAUUGCGCUUGGAGGAUCUCCUCCAAGCAUGCCUGUUGGAGCGUGGGUUCACCAAUCCAACCUAUUCCUCCUAUUCCUUGCCCAACCAGGCUCGGAAGGAAGGAGCGUUGGGAAUUGGGGAAGGUCGGGGUAAUAACGAAUGCCUCGUCCCCCGAAAUGAAUGGGCCGUAAAGCCAGGGCUUAAACACCCAUCCAUGUGCCGAGCUGCGUCCUUUGGACAUAUCCGGUGCCCGGAAUGGGUGGAAAGCCCAGGUAGUUUAGGCGAGAAAGAGGGACCUACUAUGGAUGGUAGGAAAUACAACACUUUCCACCUCCAAUCAGGCGAGUUUACCCGCUGAAUUUAA